rnacentral:rRNA from 1 species
GAUGAACGCUGGCGGCGUGCCUAAUACAUGCAAGUCGAGCGAACAGACGAGGAGCUUGCUCCUCUGACGUUAGCGGCGGACGGGUGAGUAACACGUGGAUAACCUACCUAUAAGACUGGGAUAACUUCGGGAAACCGGAGCUAAUACCGGAUAAUAUAUUGAACCGCAUGGUUCAAUAGUGAAAGACGGUUUUGCUGUCACUUAUAGAUGGAUCCGCGCUGCAUUAGCUAGUUGGUAAGGUAACGGCUUACCAAGGCAACGAUGCGUAGCCGACCUGAGAGGGUGAUCGGCCACACUGGAACUGAGACACGGUCCAGACUCCUACGGGAGGCAGCAGUAGGGAAUCUUCCGCAAUGGGCGAAAGCCUGACGGAGCAACGCCGCGUGAGUGAUGAAGGUCUUCGGAUCAUAAAACUCUGUUAUUAGGGAAGAACAAAUGUGUAAGUAACUAUGCACGUCUUGACGGUACCUAAUCAGAAAGCCACGGCUAACUACGUG